rnacentral:rRNA from 1 species
GUAGUUAGCCGGGGCUUCCUCCCAUGGUACCGUCAUUUGUUUCGUCCCAUGGGACAGAAGUUUACAAUCCGAAAACCUUCUUCCUUCACGCGGCGUUGCUGGGUCAGGCUUUCGCCCAUUGCCCAAUAUUCCCCACUGCUGCCUCCCGUAGGAGUCUGGACCGUCUCUCAGUUCCAGUGUGGCCGUUCAACCUCUCAGUCCGGCUACCCAUCGUCGGCAUGGUGGGCCGUUACCUCACCAUCUACCUAAUGGGACGCGAGCCCCUCCAUAAGCGGAUUUCUCCUUUGACCCCUCUGCCAUGCGACAAUGUGGUCUUAUGCGGUAUUAGCACCCGUUUCCGAGUGUUAUCCCCCUCUUAUGGGCAGGUCGCUCACGCGUUACUCACCCGUCCGCCACUCGGUCAUACCCCGAAGGGUAUUCCCUCGUUAGACUUGCAUGUGUUAAGCACGCCGCCAGCGUUCGUCCUGAGCCAGAAUCAAACUACUGA